GUGCUUGCUUCAGCAGCACAUACACUAAAAUUGGAAUGAUACAGAGAAGAUUAGCAUGGGCCCUGCACGAGGAUGAUUUGCAAAUUCGUGAAGUGUUCCGUAUUUUU
ensembl:snRNA U6 U6 spliceosomal RNA